rnacentral:rRNA from 1 species
UGGGGAAUUUUGGACAAUGGGCGCAAGCCUGAUCCAGCAAUGCCGCGUGCAGGAUGAAGGCCUUCGGGUUGUAAACUGUUUUUGUACGGAACGAAACGGCUCUGUCUAAUACAUGGGGCUAAUGACGGUACCGUAAGAAUAAGCACCGGCUAACUACGUGCUAGCAGCCGCGGUAAUACGUAGGUUGCAAGCGUUAAUCGGAAUUACUGGGCGUAAAGCGUGCGCAGGCGGUGAUGUAAGACAGUUGUGAAAUCCCCGGGCUUAACCUGGGAAUUGCAUUUGUGACUGCAUCGCUGGAGAGCGGCAGAGGGGGAUGGAAUUCCGCGUGUAGCAGUGAAGUGCGUAGAUAUGCGGAGGAACACCGAUGACGAAGACAAUCCCCUGGGACUGCACUGACGCUCAUGCACGAAAGAGUGAGGAGCAAACA